rnacentral:rRNA from 1 species
GGACUACCGGGGUAUCUAAUCCCGUUUGCUCCCCUGGCUUUCGCGCCUCAGCGUCAGUAGAGGGCCAGCGGAUCGCUUUCGCCACCGGCGUUCCUUCCGAUAUCAACGCAUUUCACCGCUCCACCGGAAGUUCCAUCCGCCCCUACCUCCCUCAAGCCGGCCAGUAUCCGAGGCACUUCCCCAGUUGAGCUGGGGGCUUUCACCCCGGACUUGGUCGGCCGCCUACGCGCCCUUUAAGCCCAGUGAUUCCGAACAACGUUCGCACGGUUCGUCUUACCGCGGCUGCUGGCAC